UCAUCUUCCUGUGGUGCUGAAAAGCGGAUUUUUGGAAUCACGGAUUCAAAUGAAUUCGCGUUUCUCAAACGAUAACCUCCCCGACAACAAAGAAAUUUAAAAAUAAACUAUGAGAUGAGUGCACCUUUAAGUGGAAAGAACCUAGGCAUAAUUUUCAACAUUAAUUUCAAAUAUAUGAGUUUACCCAGCUACUAAUUCUA
rnacentral:sRNA from 1 species